rnacentral:tRNA from 1 species
CGGAAUGUAGCUCAGCUUGGUAGAGCGCACGGUUCGGGACCGUGAGGCCCAGGGUUCAAAUCCCUGCAUUCCGA